CCAUCCCUGGCUAUACACACACUGUUUUUACAGAAAAAUAUCCGACAUUUCCAAAGAUAAAGUCAAAGUCGUUUAUUAUAUAUUCUUUUUAUUAAUGUGAAACAUUCAAGAUAACUUCAUUUUCUUCUUUCAAAAAGUGAAAAAGGAGAUAUUUGAUCUUUUGAUCCUGCUGAUUAUAUUCAAAGACUUCAUUUAAAAAAUGAAAUACCAUUGUGUAUGCGUCAGGCCCAGAGGAGGCGUUUUCUGCCGAAAUUGUGGCCAUCUUCAAGAAGGACGUCUCAAGUUGCACUGUCCAUCACAUCCUCAUACAAUCUUUUUGUAUGACGUCACGAGAUGCUCAAAAUGUUUGAGCCCUGAUUUUAUGUUGCGAGAAAUUCAAGAUUUACAUUAAAAAUCUGAAGAAAAAAAACUGUGGAAAAAACACAUAAAAAGAGUUUAUUUUUUGUUUAUUAUUAUUUAAAUAAUAUUUAAGAUCUUAAAGAAUAUAAUAAAGUUGGAUUUAUUUGCUAAGUAA